CCUACGGGAGGCAGCAGUGGGGAAUAUUGCACAAUGGGCGCAAGCCUGAUGCAGCGACGCCGCGUGAGGGAUGAAGGCCUUCGGGUUGUAAACCUCUUUCAGUAGGGAAGAAGCCGGCCUUUUGGGUUGGUGACGGUACCUGCAGAAGAAGCGCCGGCUAACUACGUGCCAGCAGCCGCGGUAAUACGUAGGGCGCAAGCGUUAUCCGGAAUUAUUGGGCGUAAAGAGCUCGUAGGCGGUUUGUCGCGUCUGCCGUGAAAGUCCGGGGCUUAACUCCGGAUCUGCGGUGGGUACGGGCAGACUAGAGUGCAGUAGGGGAGACUGGAAUUCCUGGUGUAGCGGUGAAAUGCGCAGAUAUCAGGAGGAACACCGAUGGCGAAGGCAGGUCUCUGGGCUGUAACUGACGCUGAGGAGCGAAAGCAUGGGGAGCGAACAGGAUUAGAUACCCUGGUAGUCCAUGCCGUAAACGUUGGGCACUAGGUGUGGGGGACAUUCCACGUUUUCCGCGCCGUAGCUAACGCAUUAAGUGCCCCGCCUGGGGAGUACGGCCGCAAGGCUAAAACUCAAAGGAAUUGACGGGGGCCCGCACAAGCGGCGGAGCAUGCGGAUUAAUUCGAUGCAACGCGAAGAACCUUAC
rnacentral:rRNA from 1 species